UACGUAGGGUGCGAGCGUUAAUCGGAAUUACUGGGCGUAAAGCGUGCGCAGGCGGCUUCGCAAGUCAGACGUGAAAUCCCCGGGCUUAACCUGGGAAUGGCGUUUGAAACUACGGAGCUGGAGUGUGGCAGAGGGAGGUAGAAUUCCACGUGUAGCGGUGAAAUGCGUAGAUAUCAGGAGGAACACCGGUGGCGAAGGCGGCUAUCUGGACAGAGUCUGACGCUGAGGCGCGAAAGCUAGGGGAGCAAACAGG
rnacentral:rRNA from 1 species